rnacentral:rRNA from 1 species
GACGAACCGUGCGAACGUUGUUCGGAAUCACUGGGCUUAAAGGGCGCGUAGGCGGGCAUUCAAGUCAGGGGUGAAAUCCUCCAGCUUAACUGGAGAACUGCCUUUGAUACUGGGUGCCUCGAGUGAGGUAGGGGCGUGCGGAACUGAUGGUGGAGCGGUGAAAUGUGUUGAUAUCAUCAAGAACUCCGGUGGCGAAAGCGGCGCGCUGGACCUUAACUGACGCUGAGGCGCGAAAGCCAGGGGAGCAAACGGG